CUGUACAUUAGUGCUUAAGAAUACUUUUAAGCACAAAUACCAUGAUGGAUCAACAUUGUGGCUGCACCUGAGAAAUACCACAUGCCCAUAGCUUUAAUCAGAACAAGGAAACACAAACGAACUCAGAUAUGUGAUUAACAAAAUUAAAUAAUGUUUAGGUUUUAUGAGCGAAAACCACCACAAGAUUUGAUGCGUGCCACAGCAAGAAGCUAUAGCUUAAUUUUUACCACCUGGGCUUUCUAGCGUGAAUCUAAAUCUUAGUACACAGUGGUUCUUGUUUUUCACUCCCAUCAAGAUGCUACUUUCGUGGCUUGAGCUGCACAGUUCGGAGGACUGCUUAGAAAAGCCACAGAACAGUAUAUUCACACAGGUAGCUCAAACAUCAAGAGGAAUCAACAUUCUAGUUGUAUCUCAGUACGAAAGAAUUCCCUACAACUCAGUGCAUUAACAACAUAUAGCUACAACAUGACACUAUUUAA